rnacentral:rRNA from 1 species
ACAUGGCGUAMSUGCUCAGUAACACRUGGAUWAACCUGCCCUUGGGUCCGGCAUACCCCGGGAAAACUGGGGAUAAUUCCGGAUAACGCACAUAUGCUGGAAUGCUUUAUGCGUCAAAUGGAUUCGUCUGCCCAAGGAUGGGUCUGCGGCCUAUCAGGUAGUAGUGGGKGUAAUGUACCUACUAGCCGACAACGGGUACGGGUUGUGAGAGCAAGAGCCCGGAGAUGGAUUCUGAGACAUGAAUCCAGGCCCUACGGGGCGCAGCAGGCGCGAAAACUUUACAAUGCGGGAAACCGUGAUAAGGGGACACCGAGUGUCAGCAUCAUAUGCUGGCUGUCCAGGUGUGUAAAAUACACCUGUUAGCAAGGGCCGGGCAACACCGGUGCCAGCCGCCGCGGUAACACCGGCGGCCCGAGUGGUGAUCGUGAUUAUUGGGUCUAAAGGGUCCGUAGCCGGUUUGGUCAGUCCUCCGGGAAAUCUGAUAGCUCAACUAUUAGGCUAUCGGGGGAUACUGCCAGGCUUGGAACCGGGAGAGGUAAGAGGUACUACAGGGGUAGGAGUGAAAUCUUGUAAUCCCUGUGGGACCACCUGUGGCGAAGGCGUCUUACCAGAACGGGUUCGACGGUGAGGGACGAAAGCUGGGGGCACGAACCGGAUUAGAUACCAGGGUAGUCCCAGCCGUAAACGAUGCUCGCUAGGUGUCAGGCAUGGCGCGACCGUGUCUGGUGCCGCAGGGAAGCCGUGAAGCGAGCCACCUGGGAAGUACGGCCGCAAGGCUGAAACUUAAAGGAAUUGGCGGGGGAGCAC